AGUGAACGCUGGCGGUAGGCCUAACACAUGCAAGUCGAACGGCAGCACGGUAAGAGCUUGCUCUUACGGGUGGCGAGUGGCGGACGGGUGAGGAAUACAUCGGAAUCUACUUUUUCAUGGGGGAUAACGUAGGGAAACUUACGCUAAUACCGCAUACGACCUACGGGUGAAAGCAGGGGAUCUUCGGACCUUGCGCGAUUGAAUGAGCCGAUGUCGGAUUAGCUAGUUGGCGGGGUAAAGGCCCACCAAGGCGACGAUCCGUAGCUGGUCUGAGAGGAUGAUCAGCCACACUGGAACUGAGACACGGUCCAGACUCCUACGGGAGGCAGCAGUGGGGAAUAUUGGACAAUGGGCGCAAGCCUGAUCCAGCCAUACCGCGUGGGUGAAGAAGGCCUUCGGGUUGUAAAGCCCUUUUGUUGGGAAAGAAAAGCAGCAGGUUAAUACCCCGCUGUUCUGACGGUACCCAAAGAAUAAGCACCGGCUAACUUCGUG
rnacentral:rRNA from 1 species